UGGGGUCGGAAGUUAACCUUCGGCACAAGUUUACUGAAAUAGAAGUACAAAGGAACAUUGUCAAGUGUUCAUUUCUUCCUCCAUGAAGGCCCACAAAAUGAAAGAUGCUCCUUUGGGUUUCCAGUGGAUGAUUCGUGCUUUGACGAGUCUCGCUGAGCUUGAGUCCUGCUGAAUGUUACACCACACAUCACCGUCUCUGUGUCCCAAUAAAUGAACAUGAGCCACUUUUUUAAAAGUCACAGGAAGUCAUAAAGCGGGAGAGGUUUGGAAUAAAAUGGAAGAUCUGAAUAUGCACCAAUUAGCCUCUGUGUACUGGAAAAGGCUCACCAUCAUCACUAACUCUUGUAUUUGUGGGACACCCUUCCUCCUCUUACCCCCAUCAGGGGUAAGCAGUUCCUGCCGUUGCUUUCUUUAGCAUCUGUGCCCCCCUUUCUGUCACCUGAAGCUUGUAUGUGAUUUCCAUUAUGGAUUAAAGGGAGAUAAACUAUUUUAUUUUUCACAUUUCUUCAAUCUUUUAUCAUCUAAGAUUAAGAAUAACCAGGCAGGACAAAGGGGCUGGAGAGACACAUAGUCAACUAGUCUGAGCCCAUGAGGGCUCACAGAGACUGAGCCACCAACCAAAGAACAUGCAGGGACUGGAACAAGGCUUCCCACACAUUUGUGCUGUUUGCUCUUCAUGUGGGUCCCCUAACAACUGGAGUGGGGGCUGUCUCUGACUCUGUUGUCUGCUAUUGGGUCCCCUUCCACGAGUUGGACUGCUUGGUUGGACCUCAGUGGGAGCGGUGCUUAGUCCUACUGAGAGACUAGAUGUCCCAGGGUAGGAUGGUACUCUGAGGAGAAGGGGAGGUAUUUGUAAGGGCAGGAUUGGGAGAAGAAGAGGGAGGGGGCUGUGAUUGGGAUGUAAUGUAAAUUAAAAAAUAAAUUAUGAGAAAAAAAAAGAAUAGCCAGGCAAUCUGUGGAGGCUACAUUGUUAUGGAAGAUUGAAAAGUGCAUCUACGUUGAGUAUUAAGUCCAAAGAGACAAAUUGGGAGAAGUGAAUAUCGGUGGACACACUCAACGUUAGGAAAAAGAGACAACCCAGCCAAAUGUCCAGAGAAUUUUCUGGACACCAGAUGGUUGAACCAGCAACUGUGACUGUGGCUUGGGAUAGUUGCGUGAAGAUGUCUGCCGAGCUUAAACUUUCAGAACCAACACAAAAGCUGCCGCCCCUUGAAAUGCCAAGGCCGGGAUCCAGGAGACAGAGGGAGUGGCUUUUGUGACACAGUUUUACAUCUUUCUUCUUGUGUGUUCUGCUCCAGAGCUUCUUGAUUUCUUCACAUUAAAAGAUCUUUCCAUGCCACUCCAUAGAUUUAAAGGUUCUUUAAAGAUUCUGUCCAUUGGAAUACAAUUAACAUAAACUAGAAUGAUCAUCCUAAGAGAAAGGAGACAUUUCGGCUCAGGAUCCCCCAAGACCAGGUUCUCGGCACAAAGAUUUGCUCCAAAGGGACAGAGGGCAGGGAAUAAAAGACAAAGACAGAAGAUAGAGGAUGAGGGAGAAGGGGAAAGAAACAUGGGAAAUGGGGCAGGAGUAUUUGUACCGGAGGGACAAAGGUCUGCCCCUGGAUAGAGAGGAGACAGAUGUGGAACAUAGAAAAAUGGCCGUUUAUAAAGGUACACGGGGAACCCUGUGUUAGGAUGAAUGUUUAAUUUUAAUUGGCAUGAAAAGAGGUGAGCCAAAGGGGUCUUUUGAUUGCUGGACUUCAAUACUUUGAUAGCUGGACCUUGGUAGUCAGCCUCAGUAAGAGAAGUGGCCAAAUAAGGGAAGUCUUUGGGGGCUAGCUUUAGGAAUGUAAUCUGAUGGCUUUUAAGGAGGCAGAGGAAAUGAAGGAGAUGGGCAAGGUCUGCCAAAACUGUUUUGCCAGACUGGAUUGGCCAGAGUCCCU